CUCCCGGGACUCCCGCUGCGUUUCCGGGGGUGGCCCGGGGGCCGGGCCGGCCGUGAUCCGUGUCCCCGAUCCCAGACGAGCAGAUGGAGCGCGGCUGAUCCUAUUAGCGGGGCCGCGCAGGAGGGGCCAGGUUGGCCCCGGGAUUUCUCCGGGAUGUUUUUCCCGGCUGGAAAACACCCCGGAUCCAGCUCCGGGUAGUGCCACCCCCUGGGGCAGCGCCGAAUUCCCGGGAAUAGGUGAGAUCCAACUCCCGGGCUGAGCUCUGGUUUCGUGGGUUGGGGAAUUCCUGGAGGUUCCCGGUUUUUUGGGGUUCUGGCUGUGCUGGAGGUGGCAGCAGGAACAGGGACACAUCCCGGGCCACCCUGGGUGGGAACGGCGGAAUUUCCUGGGAUGAGAGUGGGAAUUGCGGGAGCUUCCAGCUGGGAUUUGUUUGUCCCCUGUCCCUGGUGACAUUUGGGAUUGUCCCCGCGUGGGUCUGGCCCUGCUCCUCUCCCGACCCAUGGGAAUGUUCGGGAGCUGCUCGGGGGCUGUUCCCAUCCCGGGAAGGAGGGAUCUGUGGGAUCUGUGGGAUCUGUGGGAUCUGUGGGAUCCUGGAAUGCUCUGAGCACACUCCUGGGGGGAUUUCCUGCUGUGCUGUACAAGCACAGCUCUGUCCCUGUCCCCAUCCCCGUCCCCUCUGUCCCCAUCCCUGUCCCUCUGUCCCUCUGUCCCCGUCUUCUCUGUCUCUGUCCCCUCUGUCCCUGCCCCUUCUGUCUCCAUCUCUGUCCCUCUGUCCCCUCUGUCCCUGUCCCCUCUGUCCCCUCUGUCCCUGUCCCCAUCCCUGUCCCCUCUGUCCCCCCCCCGGUGCCGCACGUGGCCCGGAGCGCGUGGCGCUGCGGUUUCCAUGGUGACGGUGCCGGGAAUGUUCCCAUGGAUACACCGGGAUACCUGGAGCUGGAGCGGGAUGGGGGAGCCCGGAUCCCGAGGGGUCAUUCCCGAUCCCGAGGGGCCAUUCCCGAUCCCGAGGGGUCAUUCCCGAUCCCGAGGGGCCACUCCCGAUCCCGAGGGGUCAUUCCCGAUCCCGAGGGGCCACUCCCGAUCCCGAGGGGUCAUUCCCCAUCCCGAGGGGUCACUCCCGAUCCCGAGGGGCCACUCCCCAUCCCGAAGGGCCACUCCCGAUCCCGAGGGGCCACUCCCGAUCCCGAGGGGCCACUCCCCAUCCCGAGGGGUCAUUCCCGAUCCCGAGGGGCCACUCCCGAUCCCUGCCCCGAGCCUUUCCUCGGGAUGGGGGAGGCCCCAAACCCCUGUCCUGUCCCCAAACCUGGUUGCUGUCCCCAAAUCUGUUCUGUCCCCAAAGCUCCUUCCUGUACUCAAAUCCCUGUCCUGUCCCCAGUUCUCUCUCCUGUCCCCAAUCCCUGUCCUCAAAUCUGUCCUGUCCCCAAAGCUCCUUCCUGUCCCCCAAAUCUGUGUCCUGUCCCAAAUCCCUGUUCUGUCCCCAAACUUCCUUCCUGUACUCAAACCCCUGUCCUGGACCCAAAUCUGUGUCCUGUCCCAAAUCCUUCCUCCUGUCCCCAAAUCCCGGUCGCGUUCACCAUCCUUCUUCCUGUCCCCCAAAUCUGUGUCCUGUCCUCCAAAUCUGUGUCCUGCCCCAUCCCCAAAUCUGUGUCCUAUCCCAAAUCCUCUCCCCUGUCCCUAACCCCUGUCCUGUCCCCAAAUCUGUGUCUUGUCCCCAAAUCUGUCCUGUCCCCAAAUCCCUGUCCCAUUCCCAAUCCUUCUUCCUGUCCCCAAAUCUAUCCUGUCCCCAAACCUCCUUCCUGUCCCCCAAAUCCCUGUCCUGUCCCCAAAUCCCGUCCUGUCUCCAAAGCUCCUUCCUGUCCCCAAAUCAGUGUCCUGUCCCCAAACCUCCUUCCUGUCCCCCAAAUCCCUGUCCUGUCCCCAAAUCCCGUCCUGUCUCCAAAGCUCCUUCCUGUCCCCAAAUCAGUGUCCUGUCCCCAAAUCAGUGUCCUGUCCCCAAUUCUCUCUCCUGUCCCCAAAUCCCUGUCCCAUCCCCAAUCCUUCUUCCUGUCUCCAAACCUGUGACCACUCCCCAAUCCCUGUCCCUUCCCCAAAUCUAUUCUGUCCCCAAACCUCCUUCCUGUCCCCCAAAUCCCUCUCCUGUCCCCAAAUCUGUCCUGUCACUGAUCCUCUCUCCCGUCCCUGUGGGAAUGUCCGUGUCCAUCCCAAGGGUCCCUUCCCAGAUUUCCCCGGAGGAACAGCCCCUCCUGGGGGGAUAUUCCAGAUGGUCCCUGUGGGAAUGUCCGUGUCCAUCCUGGGGGCCUUUCCCAGGGGAUGAUCCCGUUCGGGGAUAGGAAUUCCAGGACUCCCUUCUCAGAUUUCUCCCGAGUAAACCGCCCUUCCUGAGGGGAAUAUUCCGGACAGUCCUUUUGGGAAUGUCCGUGUCCAUCCAAGGGUGCCGUCCCAGAUUUCCCGGGAGGAACAGCCCCUGCUGGGGGAGCAUUCCCGAAGAUCCCUUUGGAAUAUCCCCCUCCACCCCACGCUCCCCCUCCCCCUGGCCCCCCCCCCCCCCCCCCCCCCCCCCCCCCCCCCCCCCCCCCCCCCCCCCCCCCCCCCCCCCCCCCCCCCCCCCCCCCCCCCCCCCCCCC
rnacentral:lncRNA from 12 species